CUUGACCGACCCGAGCCACAACGGCCGCCCGGCGGGACGGUCCUGGCCGUACGUGGCGAUCACCGCCUGUGCCUC
rnacentral:antisense_RNA from 1 species